UUCACAGACAUCACAAUGACACAGAAGCAGUAACUACAAUCUGAACCCUUCACAGAGAUGACAAUGACACUAAGGGAAUAUAAAAGUGGUAGAUCGAUUCCCUGGAGGCCAAAUUCCUGCUGGCUGUUGAUUAACUCCACUUCUCUGGCCAGUCCAUGUUCAGCAUGAUGAGACUACAGGUUCCAUUCACAUCUGAAUUAGUUGUCAGGAAGAUCUAACCAUGCUACAUUAUUAGCUGUCAGUCCCCAUACAACUGAGGACAGCCAGCUGCUCCUUCCAGAGGAGACCAGCUAGAGAGGAACCAGCCAUUUUUCAUGAUGCGUUUGUUUCUUCCUGAAGGUUGUGUAGGUACUGAGAGUACAGCCAAACAUCAGGAGGAUGGAAUAAAAAAGGAGGCCGAGGAGACAGGUGCAUCUGUGCAAGGUCGUACACUCCUGGGAAACUGGAGGGAGGAAUCAGCUAGACCAACAUCUAGUCUCUAAAAUGAACAUUUUUGACAGUUGUUACAUUUCUUAAUGAAUUAUAAUGAUAAUGAGCCAAGAGAAUGUCUUUAGCUUCAGUAAUCUAGACAUGACAAAGAUUGUUAACUUGCAUGGGCUGUUUUGAAUAUACUUAUUUCAGGGUCUGUAUGACAGGCUAGCAUUCA